UCGUGUCGUGAGAUGUUGGGUUAAGUCCCGCAACGAGCGCAACCCCUGUCCUAUGUUGCCAGCAGUUCGGCUGGGCACUCUAAGGAAACUGCCCGUGAUAAGCGGGAGGAAGGUGUGGAUGACGUCAAGUCCUCAUGGCCCUUACGGGUUGGGCUACACACGUGCUACAAUGGCAGUGACAAUGGGUUAAUCCCCAAAAGCUGUCUCAGUUCGGAUUGGGGUCUGCAACUCGACCCCAUGAAGUCGGAAUCGCUAGUAAUCGUGGAACAGCAUGCCACGGUGAAUACGUUCCCGGGCCUU
rnacentral:rRNA from 1 species